UUUGAUCCUGGCUCAGAACGAACGCUGGCGGCGCGUCUUAAGCAUGCAAGUCGAACGGCAAGAGAGGAGCUUGCUUCUCUCCUAGAGUGGCGGACUGGUGAGGAACACGUGGGUAAUCUACCCUUAAGAUGGGGAUAGCUGCUAGAAAUAGCAGGUAAUACCGAAUACACUCAGUGCUUCAUAAGGGGUAUUGAGGAAAGGAAGCUACGGCUUCGCUUGAGGAUGAGCUUGCGUCCCAUUAGCUAGUUGGUGAGGUAAAGGCCCACCAAGGCGACGAUGGGUAUCCGGCCUGAGAGGGUGAACGGACACAUUGGGACUGAGAUACGGCCCAAACUCCUACGGGAGGCAGCAGCUAAGAAUAUUCCGCAAUGGACGGAAGUCUGACGGAGCGACGCCGCGUGGAUGAAGAAGGCUGAAAAGUUGUAAAAUCCUUUUGUUGAUGAAGAAUAAGGGUGAGAGGGAAUGCUCAUCUGAUGACGGUAAUCGACGAAUAAGCCCCGGCUAAUUACGUGCCAGCAGCCGCGGUAACACGUAAGGGGCGAGCGUUGUUCGGAAUUAUUGGGCGUAAAGGGCAUGUAGGCGGUUAUGUAAGCCUGAUGUGAAAUCCUGGGGCUUAACCCUAGAAUAGCAUUGGGUACUGUGUAACUUGAAUUACGGAAGGGAAACUGGAAUUCCAAGUGUAGGGGUGGAAUCUGUAGAUAUUUGGAAGAACACCGGUGGCGAAGGCGGGUUUCUAGCCGAUGAUUGACGCUGAUGUGCGAAGGUGCGGGGAGCAAACAGGAUUAGAUACCCUGGUAGUCCGCACAGUAAACGAUGUACACUAGGUGUUGGGGUAAGACUCAGUGCCGGAGCAAACGCGAUAAGUGUACCGCCUGGGGAGUAUGCCCGCAAGGGUGAAAC
rnacentral:rRNA from 1 species